UGCUAUAGACGUGAAUCAUCGAAUCUUUGAACGCAACUUGCACCGGGUAAAUGUAUUUAACCGGUAUACUUAUUUGAGUAUAGGAAGAUGAUGUCACAGUAUUUUAUAUUGUGAAUUUGGGAUGUGCACACACUGUGUGCUCUCCUUGAAUAUAUGAUCGAAGCAUCUGGGUAUCACUGGAGCUACACCAUUACUUGGGAUAAUGUCCCAUCAAGUGGAGGUGUGUGCAAGGAGUGGGAUAGUCACGUUGCGAUCAAAGCGAGGAAUGGCAGUGAAUGUAUCACUCACAGCCACCCUCACUGUACAACACAUACCGGUCUCAAAUUAAGUAAGAUUACCCGCUGAACUUAAGCAUAUCAAUAAGCGGAGG
rnacentral:rRNA from 1 species